AGAAAAGAAGAAGAGUAGCCCCCAAAACGCUUUCGAUCAAGUGGUCCUUGCAUGCAGAGUUCGUGUUGCUUCCGUUUUGUAGGCCAAAGAGGUUCUCUCUUUUGUGUGCGUGUAUGAGUUUGUUUUGUGUGUUUGUGGUUACGUCUAUGUUUUUGUUUUUGUAUGUCAUCUCGUUUUGGGAAUGCUUCUACGUGUCUGUACAUAUUUUGCUGCAAUGAUAAUAAAAAUGUGUAGAUGCUUAACAUCACUUCUUUUUGGACACCACAGUCUCUUUGGAGGCCAUAUUGAGAGUGACUGCAAAGACACUUUACUCUUUUCUUGAAUUGAUAAAUUAUCUCCAAUCCAAAUUGUCAAAGCCUAGCUUGAAAAAAAGAGGAAAUUGACAAAUGGCCAAUUGUGUUUAGUUGAGGAAGCUUGCAGGGAUUAUGAUGUGGAUAAUGUAAUAGAUAUGAGAUCAUUUAUUUUGAACCAUACAAUAUUCUUUAACAACAUUGAGUUUAGUCCGGCUACCACAGCACAGAGAAAAGCAUGAUAAAGCACCUUCUUCCUUGACACUUUACCUAUCUUUUGUGAGUCAAUGCCUAGUAUGCUGUAAUUGGAUUAGACACAACUGUCCUAGUAGCAUCAAUCAUCAAAUAAAUCCAGUUUCUUCCGAACCAAGGCAUACAUAGAUCACUGAAUUAGUUGCUGAUGUGAUUAAGGAUUGUUCCAACUUAGAAGUGGAUUUUUACUUUUAUGAACAAAUUGUAUAAAUAUUUCAGUCCUUGGAAGAUUUUUCAAACCAGAGAUAGAUAUCACAUAUGAAGUCACACUUUGUUUUGUAAUUACCGCUUUGUUUCUGUUAAUGAUUUGGUUAGGUGAAAUAGUAGUACACUCACUUAUUUCGUUUAGGGGUAGUUUCGUCCAUUUGUUAAAAAUAACACUGAUAGGAUAACAUUUAAGGUUUUGACAAUUCACAGAGUGUGACUUUCUUAUGUGAUGCAUGCAGCAUGCUGCUUGGUAAGAUGAGAUAUAAUAUCAUUGAUUAUUAGUGUUCCUUGAUGCAUGCACCUUGUUAAAUGUUGUCAUAAUAUAACAUAUUGUUUUCGACUUUUCGUGGCUCAUGUCCCCUUGAAAGACUUGUUGUGAUCUUAUUUAUAGUUUUAGAGAUAUAUGGUUGGAAGGAGUCAUAUGUUAUGGUUGUGAAGUGAAUGUAUGAGGUUAUUUUACUAACGAACGUGGAACCUUUGGGAAUAUUAACGGAGCAAACGCAGGAGGAAAGGAACCUUUUCGAUUUAGGAGAAAGUCGACGUCGGACGCGUUCGAUAAGGGAGCAGGAUCAGAGAAUGGACCAAGGAACUCUCCUCCUACUUACGGCCUGUGAUCUCUAACUCAAAUCUCAAAAGAGAGAGAGAAGAAACAGAAUAGCCCCCAAAACGCUUUCGUUUUGACGACACAUCAAAGUGGUCCUUUCCUUGCAUGCAGAGUGCGCGUGUAUGAGUUUGUUUUGUGUGUGUUGUGAAUACGUCUCUGUUUUUACUCUUUUGUUUUUGUACGUCAUCUCGUUUCUACGUGUCUGUACAUUUUUUGCUGCGAUGAUGAUAAUAAAAAUACAUAGAUGCUU
rnacentral:lncRNA from 1 species